CCAAUAGCGUAUAUUAAAGUUGUUGCAGUUAAAAAGCUCGUAGUUGAAUUUCGGGAUUGACACAUCGGUCGUGCCUUAAGGGGUAUGAACUGGUGUAGUCAAUUUCUCACCUUCUGGAGAACCGCGAUGUCCUUAAUUGGGUGCCGCGAGGAACAAGGACCUUUACUUUGAAAAAAUUAGAGUGUUUAAAGCAGGCAGUUUGCGUGAAUACAUUAGCAUGGAAUAAUAAAAUAGGACGGCAUGAUUCUAUUUUGUUGGUUUCUAGGAUCACCGUAAUGAUUAAUAGGGAUAGUUGGGGGCAUUAGUAUUCAAUUGUCAGAGGUGAAAUUCUUGGAUUUAUUGAAGACUAACUACUGCGAAAGCAUUUGCCAAGGAUGUUUUCAUUAAUCAAGAACGAAAGUUAGGGGAUCGAAGACGAUCAGAUACCGUCGUAGUCUUAACCAUAAACUAUGCCGACUAGGAAUCAGACGAUGUUAAUUUUUUAAUGACUCGUUUGGCACCUUACG
rnacentral:rRNA from 1 species